rnacentral:other from 1 species
AAAAGCCUGGGAUGUUCGAAAGAUCCUAUAAUUUUGAACCUACAUUUGACGAAAGGGAGUUCGGAGUUUGAUAACCAUAUGUCAGGCCUCAAGAUAAUUCCGCCACAUGCCUUAAGGUGUGUGCAACGGCAGGGGAAGACAGCGGUUGUCAACAGGACACCCACCUAGCAGGGGCUAGGUGUCGAAAUAUAGGAGAAACGGCAUUUUGGGUAUCAA